rnacentral:rRNA from 1 species
AACGAACGCUGGCGGCGUGCCUCAUACAUGCAAGUCGUACGCGAAUCCUGCCGCAAGGCAGGGUUUGAGUGGCAAACGGGUGCGUAACACGUAGGUAAUCUUCCUUUGAGUUGGGGAUAAACCCUCGAAAGGGGUCUAAUACCGAAUAACACUUCUGGUUGGCAUCAACCGGAAAUUAAAGAUGGCCUCUGCUUGCAAGCUAUCGCUCGGAGAUGAGCCUGCGGCCGAUAGUUAGUUGGCGGGAUAAAAGCCCACCAAGACUUCGAUCGGUAGCCGGUCUGAGAGGAUGUCCGGCCACACUGGGACUGAGAUACGGCCCAGACUCCUACGGGAGGCAGCAGUAGGGAAUAUUGCGCAAUGGCCGCAAGGCUGACGCAGCAACGCCGCGUGGGGGA